rnacentral:misc_RNA from 1 species
GGAUAAGGCCGACAUUCUCAGACAAACAUACAUUUACAUAAUAAAUGGGAUAAAAACACUAACCACAGCUAUGGUUUUUUCUAUUUUUUUCCGCAAUUGGGGUUGUAAAUGGGGCAUUUGCAAUGAUUAUAUGAUGGAUUUUCAUUGCUUUUACACACUCUGACUUCGGCAGCGUGCAAGGUGAAAUCAGUAUACGGAUCAGCUGUAUCAUCAAGGAUUCGGGUAAUGUAAGAAUCCAUCAACACCUCUAAUUCCAAGUCCUCGGCGAUCAGGCACUCGUCCAGGUGGCCAUCCUCACACCGGAA